rnacentral:misc_RNA from 1 species
UCUUUGAGCGUUAACUAUAUCCAUCUACACCUGUGAACUGUUGAUUGACUUCGGUCAAUUACUUUUACAAACAUUGUGUAAUGAACGUCAUGUUAUUAUAACAAAAAUAACUUUCAACAACGGAUCUCUUGGCUCUCGCAUCGAUGAAGAACGCAGCAAAGAUCAUUAGUGAAUUGCUCUUUGAGCGUUAAACUAUAUCCAUCUACCUGGGAAACGAUUUAUUGACUUCGAUUAUUACUUU